rnacentral:rRNA from 1 species
CUACGGGAGGCUCCAGUGGGGAAUAUUGCACAAUGGGCGCAAGCCUGAUGCAGCCAUGCCGCGUGUAUGAAGAAGGCCUUCGGGUUGUAAAGUACUUUCAGCGGGGAGGAAGGGAGUAAAGUUAAUACCUUUGCUCAUUGACGUUACCCGCAGAAGAAGCACCGGCUAACUCCGUGCCAGCAGCCGCGGUAAUACGGAGGGUGCAAGCGUUAAUCGGAAUUACUGGGCGUAAAGCGCACGCAGGCGGUUUGUUAAGUCAGAUGUGAAAUCCCCGGGCUCAACCUGGGAACUGCAUCUGAUACUGGCAAGCUUGAGUCUCGUAGAGGGGGGUAGAAUUCCAGGUGUAGCGGUGAAAUGCGUAGAGAUCUGGAGGAAUACCAGUGGCGAAGGCGGCCCCCUGGACGAAGACUGACGCUCAGGUGCGAAAGCGUGGGGAGCAAACAGGAUUAGAUACCCUCGUAGUC